rnacentral:rRNA from 1 species
UACGUAGGGGGCUAGCGUUGUCCGGAAUCAUUGGGCGUAAAGCGCGUGUAGGCGGCCCGGUAAGUCCGCUGUGAAAGUCGGGGGCUCAACCCUCGAAAGCCGGUGGAUACUGUCGGGCUCGAGUGCGGAAGAGGCGAGUGGAAUUCCUGGUGUAGCGGCGAAAUGCGCAGAUAUCAGGAGGAACACCGAUUGCGAAGGCAGCUCGCUGGGACGUUACUGACGCUGAGACGCGAAAGCGUGGGGAGCAAACAGG